UUUUUUCAUGAAAAAGAUAAUUACCUAAAAUUAGUGGAAACUAUGCUUUAAAAUUUUAAAAUUUCGGUUGUCACAUGAGCAUAAAAGUUCACUACCUCAACAGUCUUAUUGAAGAGCAGAUGAAAAGAUUCCAUCAGGAUUUCAACACUAUGGAAAUUCGAUGUCUGACUAUUGUUGGAUCCUACUAAACUACAUGCUGAAAAGUCAUAUAAAAAGCAAUUUUCAAGUGAUAAAUAACCCACGCAAAAGUUGGAGAGAGGUAAUUGAUGAGGAGAUCCGGAGGUCCAAGAGGUCCGAAAGUGAUAAGUAACUAACUACAACUCAUCAAUCAAGAAUAUUCCGAAUCGAAUACCAAUAAUGCAGUUUAUUGUUGUACUCCUGUUUUUAAAAUGACCUAAUCAAGUUUGGAAAUGUAUCUGUUAUUGAAGUAUGGUAUGAAGUUUGUUACUGUGAUAGCUACACAUAAAAUCUCAAAUCGAUGGAUCUAUUUUCUCAUGAUACUGACCACAUGAUGGACAUUGUUCAAAGGAUUUCAUCAUCUACUUAAUUGGAUCCCUAUCCUUCCAACUCUUCAUGCCUGUUCCUAUUUCUGAAGCAUCAUCUUCAACAUCGAAAAGCACAACUGGAAACUUUCAAGUGAGAACUUGCAAACAUUAUUUUUUUUGUCAUUUUUUCGAGAUUUUAUUCAAUAUUU